rnacentral:rRNA from 1 species
UACGAAGGGGGCUAGCGUUGUUCGGAAUUACUGGGCGUAAAGCGCGCGCAGGCGGUCUUCCAAGUCAGUGGUGAAAGCCUGGAGCUCAACUCCAGAACUGCCAUUAAAACUGUUAGACUUGAGUACGAGAGAGGUGAGUGGAAUUCCCAGUGUAGAGGUGAAAAUUCGUAGAUAUUGGGAAGAACACCAGUGGCGAAGGCGGACUCACUGGCUCGUAACUGACGCUCAGGCGCGACAGCGUGGGGAUCAAACAGG